GCUUUGGGCGCCUCCACUUGCUCUGGUCACACCCCUGGGGCUCAUACUUGGGGCCUUGGCAAAGCUAUAGGGUAGGAUUUGAGGGCGAUUUGAGCUCUGACAAGCAGCUUUUCAGAGUCCUAGGGCCAGGGGCGUGGCCCAGCCCUGCCGCAGACGUGGUCAAAGCAGUUCUGGACUCAGACCCCAGGAGAACAGCCAUGCUCUUCAGCCCUGAGCCGCCUGGCCCCACUGACUUCCGGCCCCAUCUCCUGUCUCUAGCCCUCUUUACCCUCCAGCAAGCUUUUCUAAUGGUGGAACUGCCGGCAUUGCCCACAUGGGACCAGCACAGGCCUGGAGGCAGCACCAAGGCCCCGGUAGCCCUUCUGUCCCCCAGUGCACCCCCGUCUGGACUUGGAGUCGGCCUGGAAUCCAGGGCAGAGUGGAUGUCCCCUACCAGAAUCGGAGACACCUGCAGCCUCGGAGCUGGGGGAUACUGAACAUUCCCAGCUCCUGCUGACAGACAAGCAGCUUAGGAUAAAAGGCUCCUGCUGCACUGGGUCCAGGCGUCAGCCUCCGUGGGUGGGAGGGUUUGCUGAAGUGAGAGGCUGAUGAGAGCGCAAGGGAGGGCUGGCUGGAGGCAAGCACCUUCCAACCGGUUUCGGAUUUCCUUUGCUGUCCUCCCCUAUCUCUGGCUGGCAGCUUUUUGGGAUUAGCUGCUGUGGUCAGGAGCUGCCAGCUGGGCCGGCCUGGCACAGCCUCAGGGAGGUGUAUGAGGGCUGUCUGGUAGCUGGGCACAGUCAAGGAAGGGGGCAUGAGUCCAGUUUUCGAAAUUUGUCCCUCAGGAAAUUUGUCCUUUGGAAAUUUGGGAAGUGGUGGGGAGAGGUGCGUGUCUGCCACUCACACAUGAUCCGUGUAGCACAUCCACAUUGUACAGGGAGAGAAAUAGCUCAGGGAGGUGGAGUGAUCACGCAAGGCCACGCAGCUGGUCUGACCCUGGCUGCAUCCCACGCCAUCCAGUGGACACGCCUCCCUGACGGCUGACAGAUGAGCUAGGAGGGGCUCAUGUCCGUGCGGGUCAGUACCUUCUACACCAUCGCCCCAAUGGCAGCUACCACGUACUGAGCACCUACCCUGUGCCAGGUGCCUGUGAGGCUGGUGUCCCGUUCUACAGACAAGAAAACAGAAGCCCAGACAGGGGAAGCGACUUGCUCUAGAUCACACCCCAAACCGGCGAUGGAGGCAGGGUUUGAACCCAGGACUAACUCCAGAGGCUGUGUUCUCACCUGCCCCAUGCUCAGCAGAGACCUCCCCGCUUUGACACACGUCAAGCCCACGGCAGCUGUGCUGCCCACGGCUGCACCAGGCCCUGCUCUGGCCGAGAGCAUUUGUACACAGAGCGGAAAACACAGUGGGGUGCAGCAGGCCUCUCCCGAGAGAAACCGACCUCACCUUGGCAAAUCUCAGGGAAGGGACUUGGAGGCUCAGUUGGGUCACAGGUUCACUCCUUGACCAAUCAACUGUGCCCAGGGCUGGGGUCAGAUAACCAUGUAGCAGCCCCCUACAGACCAUGGUGGCCAAGGCGGUGGGGCAUGGCCUUUGCCUAGAGAUUUGACCCCUGGGCCAAAGGUUCUGUUUAAGUUACAUCUGCCUCCCCCGGCUUCUGAGCUUCCUGUUCCCAACUUCCAUGACAAGAGGCUGGGGGGGUCAGGGUGGGUCCUCUCGAAACUGCUUUCCUUGGGCCGGGCCCCUUCGUCCAGCCGACAGGCCAUGUCUGCCCAGGGAACUGAAGUGUAUGGACAGGGGUCAGAAGCUACUCGAAGGACUUGUCUCUGUGCCCAACUCAUGUGUGAGCCUUGGGGUUAAGUCACAUGGUUCACCCUCUGGUCUCAGUUCACACAUCACCCACAGAGAGGUCUCCGCCCAGCUCCCCAGCCUUCCCAGCCGCAGUCUGUCCUUCUCUAUUGUGUCUCUGUGAGGUCUGUCUUUCCUGGCAGAUUGUGAGGGCAGGAGGCAGGGCUGACACAAAAU
ensembl:lncRNA